rnacentral:rRNA from 1 species
GACGAACGCUGGCGGCGUGCUUAACACAUGCAAGUCGAACGGAAAGGCCCUGCUUUUGUGGGGUGCUCGAGUGGCGAACGGGUGAGUAACACGUGAGUAACCUGCCCUUGACUUUGGGAUAACUUCAGGAAACUGGGGCUAAUACCGGAUAGGAGCUCCUGCUGCAUGGUGGGGGUUGGAAAGUUUCGGCGGUUGGGGAUGGACUCGCGGCUUAUCAGCUUGUUGGUGGGGUAGUGGCUUACCAAGGUUUUGACGGGUAGCCGGCCUGAGAGGGUGACCGGCCACAUUGGGACUGAGAUACGGCCCAGACUCCUACGGGAGGCAGCAGUGGGGAGUAUUGCACAAUGGGCGGAAGCCUGAUGCAGCAACGCCGCGUGCGGGAUGACGGUCUUCGGGUUGUAAACCGCUUUCGCCUGUGACGAAGCGUGAGUGACGGUAAUGGGUAAAGAAGCACCGGCUAACUACGUG